rnacentral:rRNA from 1 species
UACGUAGGGUCCGAGCGUUGUCCGGAAUUAUUGGGCGUAAAGGGCUCGUAGGCGGUCUGUCGCGUCGGCUGUGAAAACCCGAGGCUCAACCUCGGGCCUGCAGUCGAUACGGGCAGGCUGGAGUUCGGUAGGGGAGACUGGAAUUCCUGGUGUAGCGGUGAAAUGCGCAGAUAUCAGGAGGAACACCGGUGGCGAAGGCGGGUCUCUGGGCCGAUACUGACGCUGAGGAGCGAAAGCGUGGGGAGCGAACAGG